rnacentral:lncRNA from 10 species
CCUAGUGUUUCUCAGCCAUACAGUUUGCUUUAAUAAGAGGGUUUCUUUGUUUCUCCUCUGACUUGAUUGCUUUUAUCCCCAAUUUCUUUCUCUCCACAAGCACACAUUUGUUCUUUCUUUCCUCUAAUGCUCUUGGUCAGAUGAAUACUUUUGUAGUUCAUUUAACCACUCUGCUUCUAAUUUCCUUCCUUAAUACCUCCUUGAAUGAUAAGUGGAAUCACUACUGGAGCCACUUCUAACUUGGGAUUCUCAGUAACUUUUAUCUGUUGAGGAGGAAAUAGGCUGAAUGUAGUGAGUGGUUUUGAUUGUACCAAAAAAAGAAGGAAAUAAAGAAGGUGGAGAUGGAGACUGGAACCAAGGAGGAUGCAGAGCAAAAAUAAGAAAGGAGUGGUGCUAUGUGACUGAACUUAUGGCAGAGCAUGUGAUCAAGCUUUCCUCUGGAUCUAUUUUAUUCACUGUGAAGCUCAAGACACACAGAGAGGCCUAUGUGGAGAGGAACUGAGCUCAGGCAGCAUCUUCAUCUGAUCUCCUAGUUGACAGCCAGCCAAACUUUUCCAGCCAAGUGAAAAAUGGGCCAUCUUGGAAAUGGAUUAUCCAACCUUCGGGAAAGUUCUCCCUACCAUUGCUCCAUGGAGCACUACCAUUCUCUGUCAAAAUUGCAAAUUCGUAAAGAAAAUAAAUGGCAGUUGUUUUUAAGACCCU